UACGGAGGGGACUAGCGUUGUUCGGAAUUACUGGGCGUAAAGCGCACGUAGGCGGAUUUGUAAGUCAGGGGUGAAAUCCCGAGGCUCAACCUCGGAACUGCCUUUGAUACUGCAAAUCUCGAGUCCGGAAGAGGUGAGUGGAAUUCCUAGUGUAGAGGUGAAAAUUCGUAGAUAUUAGGAAGAACACCAGUGGCGAAGGGCGGCUCACUGGUCCGGUACUGACGCUGAGGUGCGAAAGCGUGGGGAGCAAACAGGGAU
rnacentral:rRNA from 1 species